CCUACGGGAGGCAGCAGUGGGGAAUAUUGCACAAUGGGGGAAACCCUGAUGCAGCGACGCCGCGUGAGCGAUGAAGUAUUUCGGUAUGUAAAGCUCUAUCAGCAGGGAAGAAAAUGACGGUACCUGACUAAGAAGCACCGGAUAACUCCGUGCCAGCAGCCGCGGGCAUACGUAGGGUGAAAGCGUUAUCCGGAUUUACUGGGUGUAAAGGUAGUGUAGACGGCUGUGCAAGCCAGAGGUGAAAGCCCGGGGCGCAACCCCGGGACUGCCUUUGAAACUGUGUGACUGGAGUGUCGGAGAGGCUGGCGGAAUUCCUAGUGUAGCGGUGAAAGGCGUAGAUAUUAGGAGGAACACCAGUGGCGAAGGCGACCUGCUGGACGAUGACUGACGCUGAGGCGCGAAAGCGUGGGGAGCAAACAGGAUUAGAUACCCCAGUAGUC
rnacentral:rRNA from 1 species